rnacentral:tRNA from 1 species
UGGGAUGUGGCACAGUGGACAAAGUGCUAGGCUCAAAAGUCUGAGGUCCCAAGUUCAAUCCCUGGCAUCUCAC